GGACAUUGGAAUAAAUAUAAUGACAGAACAAGAUGUAGUAAAUGAAGUGACAAACAAGAGACAAUUGAGAAGAUUGAUUUUGUCCUGCCAUAUGAUUUAAUAAUACAAAGUGCACAUCCUGAGAAUAUAAAAUUUGUUACCGAGUUUUCCAAGAAAACAGGUGAUUACACAAGUUUAUCAGCAACUGACAUAAAAGUAAUUGCAUUAACAUACCAACUGGAAAA